GCUAGGCAUGGUGGUGCACACCUGUAAUCCUAGCAGCUCUGGAGGCUGAGUCAGGAGAAUCUCAAGUUCAAAGCCAGCCUCAGCCAUGGCAAAGCACUAAGUGAGACCCUGUCUCUA
rnacentral:sRNA from 1 species